rnacentral:tRNA from 1 species
CAAGCGUGCUCCUGGAGCUGAAGAAGAGGAGGGGAGUAGGGGCAGUUAGAAGGGUGGCCGAAGGGAAAUGAUGAGAAUGGAGGGGGAGAUAAAACUGAACACUACCAUUUUGGCUCUGUUCAACUUUCGUGGAAGCUGUGGUGGCAAACGUAAGAAAAUCAGGUUCAUUGGUGUUUGCAUAUAGCGAGGGCGGGGCGGAGCAAAAACGUAGAAAAGGCCUAUCAGAAGGCUUUCUUUCGUGCGGUUCCUCGUUAGUAUAGUGGUGAGUAUCCCCGCCUGUCACGCGGGAGACCGGGGUUCGAUUCCCCGACGGGGAGGCACGACUACAGUCCAUGCCAUCAC